GACGAACGCUGGCGGCGUGCUUAACACAUGCAAGUCGAACGCUGAAGCUCAGCUUUUGUUGGGUGGAUGAGUGGCGAACGGGUGAGUAACACGUGAGUAACCUGCCUCCUUCUUUGGGAUAACGCCCGGAAACGGGUGCUAAUACUGGAUAUUCACUGGUCUUCGCAUGGGGGUUGGUGGAAAGGGUUUUUCUGGUGGGGGAUGGGCUCGCGGCCUAUCAGCUUGUUGGUGGGGUGAUGGCCUACCAAGGCUUUGACGGGUAGCCGGCCUGAGAGGGUGACCGGUCACAUUGGGACUGAGAUACGGCCCAGACUCCUACGGGAGGCAGCAGUGGGGAAUAUUGCACAAUGGGCGCAAGCCUGAUGCAGCGACGCCGCGUGAGGGAGGCCUUCGGGUUGUGAACCUCUUUCGCUCAUGGUCAAGCCGCAACAAUGGUUGUGGUGAGGGUAGUGGGUAAAGAAGCGCCGGCUAACUACGUG
rnacentral:rRNA from 1 species